rnacentral:snoRNA from 1 species
UGGACAUGUAUUGUUAUUCAGUUUCUUCUCAAGGUGAAGAUAACUCUUUAUAAAUGUCCUAGCGAAAUACAGUAGCUUCUUUGUUCACCCUUUGCAAGUAAAAAGUGUGGAUCGUUCCACUACGGACAACU